rfam:Human gut metagenome DNA, contig sequence: F1-S_012577.
UACAACUAAUAGAAUGUUGCUCAAAUGAGUGGCUAACACCACAAAGGGGCGCACAUAAACUGCCUACGGCAUGAGUAGCAGCGCCAUGUGAAAAUGUCGGAAAGCUAGGCUGGAGAGCAAAAAUUCGACCCAAACAGUUUUAGCUGUGGAAAUGUUUGUAGAGGUACAGGCUGUCGAAGAUUAUGUAGUGGGCUGUAUA